rnacentral:lncRNA from 1 species
GGCUCAAGAACACUAGCGCCAACGCUUGGAAGACCAAGGUGGUCAACAGGUGGAAGCGGACGAGGAAGCAAGCCAUAAGUAGGCCGAGAGGGGAAGUGGCUCAUCAGUAGACACAUUCACAACACGCGGACGAUGUAUAUAAAAGUGAGGAAAAGAUGGAAGAAUACGAGCAGAAAUCAACGGGAUAAACUCAGGUGAUGGAGACAAGGAAGCCACAACUGAUAAGCGAGGUGAGGAAAUCAUAGGAGAUGAUGGCAUUGGAUCUACAAUAAUCAGAGAAGCAAGAGCAGUACGACGACUGGAUCAGGGAGUGAUAGGAGUGUUGGAUUUAAAAAAAAGAGAGAUUUCCUCCAUUGAAAAGGUUUAGGAAGAUGGACACAGGUAGAAGGGAUGAGACUCAUCAAAAGUCAUAUCCCGAGAAAUAGCCAUCUGACGCCCAACAUGAUCCCAAUAAUGAUAUCCCUUAUGCUCAAUGUUGUAUCCUAAGAAGACACACUCAACGGACUGAGAAGUCAGUUUGGUGCGUUCACGCGGGGCAAGGACAUAGCAAACACAACCAAAAAAUUGAAGCGCCGAAUAAACGAUCAAAUAGACGCUCGAAAGGAGCGUCACCCUGCAGAGCAGUGGAUUGCUGAAGGUUGAUGAGAUAGAUGGAAGUGGAGACAGAGUUGCCCAAAAGUGCGGUGAAAGAGAGGCGGUGACCAUCAAUGGACGAGCUGUCUCAAGAAGGUGACGAUGCUUGCGCUCAGCCAUGCCAUUUUGAGCAUGAGCACCAGGAUAAGAGAACCAAAGUCUGCUCAGCAAGGAUUCCAUGCAACAACUUGGAGAUAUAUUGUCCACCAGAGUCACCAUAGAACACAUGAAUAGGCAUAGAGAAUUGAGUGUGAACCAUGGCAACAAAAGGCUUAUAGAUAAUACCUCACUACGAGAAGAAAUAAAGUAUAUAUCCAGGUGUGUUGAGAGAAGUCACUAACGGAUGCAAAAGGAGACGAUCCCUCGAGAUCAGAGUGAACAACGUCUAAAGGAUGCUGAGACACUGUCUCGCUAUGAGUAUAAGGUAACUGGACCACGUAUUAGAGACAUCAUCGGAGACGGAUCCAAGAAGAUCACGUCGAACUAAGGAUGAGAGAUCAUAAGUGACCCAAGGCGAUGAUGCCACUCUUGAAAAUAUAUGGUAGACAAGGCAACAGAGGCAGAGUGGCACCACUGGCGGUAGAGGGACUUGAUCCGGCAUUCCACUUGCCUGUGCACUCCUCGUACCCCAUCGAUCUGGCUGGGUGUUCCUUUCCUGUUCGCGGGUUGUGUGCCACGUGCUUGAUUAAGCACCCCAAGUUCUCCUACUGUGCGCCCUUGGCCUUGACUUUAGGUAGCGCCUGUCGUCGGCUCGUCCCGUGCGUAAUCCAGGUACGCAUCGACUGUCUGAGCUCCUGCUCACCAUUCGUGGUGCUCGAGCGUGCGGUUAUGGUGUCACACAUAAAGGGAACACGGGAUGUGGGAUUGAGACAGUGCUUGUAGCAACCCGCAGUAAGGCAAAGGAUGCCCAUCCAGACUGGUAGGGAGUGGAGGUGGUCACAAAGGUAUCAGUAAGAGUAGCACGAGUAAGAAGAUCCUAGACAUACUUUUCUCUUAGAAAAUAAAGAAGUCAUUAGAGGUAGAAGAAACCUCAAUCUCAAGGAAGUACGGAAGAGGACCAAGAUCGGACAUAAGAAAUUCACUAUGACGAGCCUUUCACCAAGGCUAUGUACUUAAGGGUCGUUGCCAGUGAUGAUUGACAUGUAGAAGAAGUGUUCGACCACGAGUUGAAUGGUGGACCGAAAGUGUAGGAUAAUGAGCAGUCGCCAAAAACUAGCCGCAAUCACCACUGAGACGAAGCGGUCAAACCAGGCACGAGGGGUUUGCUUAGGGCCAUAUAGACAGCGACGAAGACGACAAACCAUGCCAUUAAGAAGAGAAUCUAGGUGGUGGCUACUUGUAGGCAUUCUUGACAUCAAGCUGAGAGACAGACUAGCGGCGAAUAGAAGCCACAUUGAUGAAGUGUGUGAAGAGUGGUCACGUGGGCCAUAUAUAUACGAGUAAAUGUCUCUUCGUAGUCAUGACCAUGUUCUCACCAUUAAACGAGCUUUGUAACGUUCAAGAGUAUCAUCAGUCUUAACCUUGUAGACCCACUUACAAGUGAUGAGACGAGCACGAGGAGGAAGGGAAAUGAGAUUCCACGUGUCAAUGCGGGCAAGAGCAUGAAUCUUCGAUGCCAUCACAAGCAACCAUUUGGGAUGAACAACCUAACGACAAGAAGUCGUCUCGGGAAGAGCUACGCAGUAACCAUAGCGGUCAAUAGGCAGAAGCGGGCGAGCUCGAAAGCCAUAAGUAGGCUAAGCUGGAGGCCGUGCGUUGCCAACGAAAGAAGAUAUAAUAGUCGAGCAAUAAUCUCCCCUGCCAUCGCAAGGUGCCAUUUGGAAUGCAUAACAUCACGAUAAGAAGUCGGCUCAAGAACACCAGCGCCAACGCUUGGAAGACCAAGGUGGUCAACAGGCGGAAGCGGAUGAGGAAGCAAGCCAUAAGUAGGCCGAGAGGCGAAGUGGCUCAUCAGUAGACACAUUCACAACACGCGGACGAUGUAUAUAAAAGUGAGGAAAAGAUGGAAGAAUACGAGCAGAAAUCAACGGGAUAAACUCAGGUGGUGGAGACAAGGAAGCCACAACCGAUGAAGGUGUAGAAUCAUGUGAUAAGCGAGGUGAGGAAAUCAUAGGAGAUGAUGGCAUUGGAUCUACAAUAAUCAGA